GGUGAUGUAGCUCAGUGGUAGAGCAUGUGCUUAGCAUGUUUAAGGUCUUAGGCUCAACCUACAACACCA
rnacentral:tRNA from 1 species